rnacentral:rRNA from 1 species
AUUGAACGCUGGCGGCAUGCUUUACACAUGCAAGUCGAACGGCAGCGGGGGCUUCGGCCUGCCGGCGAGUGGCGAACGGGUGAGUAAUGCAUCGGAACGUGCCCAGUCAUGGGGGAUAACUACGCGAAAGCGUAGCUAAUACCGCAUACGCCCUGAGGGGGAAAGUGGGGGAUCUUCGGACCUCACGUGAUUGGAGCGGCCGAUGUCAGAUUAGCUAGUUGGUGAGGUAAAGGCUCACCAAGGCGACGAUCCGUAGCGGGUCUGAGAGGAUGAUCCGCCACACUGGGACUGAGACACGGCCCAGACUCCUACGGGAGGCAGCAGUGGGGAAUUUUGGACAAUGGGGGCAACCCUGAUCCAGCCAUGCCGCGUGAGUGAAGAA